AAAGAAGAGAUGCAGACGACCAAGGUUAAACAACAUGACAUCGUCAGCAUGAAUGCAGGCUUGGUCCAUAAGAAUGAGAUUCUGAGGACUAAAAAUGAAGACCUGGCCUCUGCCAAUUCAAGUCUGGCCAGGCAAAUUGACGAAGUCCAGGUAAAAGCCCGAGUUGAUAAAGAAAGGCAUUUGGUCAGACGUCGCAAGCUUCAAAGUAAGCUGCAAGCCUUGGA
rnacentral:lncRNA from 1 species